rnacentral:rRNA from 1 species
GAUGAACGCUAGCGGGAGGCCUAACACAUGCAAGCCGAGCGGUAUAGAAUCUUCGGAUUUUAGAGAGCGGCGUACGGUGCGGAACACGUGUGCAACCUACCUUUAUCUGGAGGAUAGCCUUUCGAAGGAAGAUUAAUACUCCAUAAUAUAUUGAUUGGCAUCAAUUAAUAUUGAAAGCUCCGGCGGAUAGAGAUGGGCACGCGCAAGAUUAGUUAGUUGGUGAGGUAACGGCUCACCAAGACGAUGAUCUUUAGGGGGCCUGAGAGGGUGAUCCCCCACACUGGUACUGAGACACGGACCAGACUCCUACGGGAGGCAGCAGUGAGGAAUAUUGGACAAUGGGUGCAAGCCUGAUCCAGCCAUCCCGCGUGAAGGACGACUGCCCUAUGGGUUGUAAACCUUCUUUUGUAUAGGGAUAAACCUCUCCUCGUGAGGAGAGCUGAAGGUACUAUACGAAU